GAGUUAUCCAUGCCCCGUGGACUUGGUAAGCUUUACUCCCUGGUGUCACCAGAGUAUACCAGCUACCUGGUUCCUGCUGCAUGCUUGCAAAUAACUUGGUUCCAGUGAUUUCUCACGGAGGUGACUAAAUCAAUUGGUAGGCUUAGUGUUUGUGUAUACAAAGACUUAGAACCUGUUUUGCGUGUGCGAUUUUAGUUUCUGUGAUCUUUCCAGUCAUUAUCGUCUACAAGCUGUUGGCCCUGAGAAUUAUUUACAUUUUAAUUAGGAGUGCUCAACCCCCUCUAUGAGUAGAGUCAAGCAGCUUAUUUACUUCCUACUGGCAGGCUUCUGAGGAAACAGCUUAGGCAAACUUGCUGAGCCAUUGAGCCAAAAUAAAGUCACUUGCAGAAGAGCAACACCAUGUCCUCACUUCUUAGCUUUGCUUCUCUGCUGGGGCUUCUCAUGGGGACCAAAACUGAAGUGAGCUGCUCUAUGCAGCAAUCAAACUACUGCCUCAUUUUUUUUUUCUUCCCUUUUCUCUGGAUGAAGCAAACUUUUUAAUAGGUUUCAUUUGCAUAUAUAAUUAGCACUCAUUUUUUUAGCAUAGCCAGGGAGUGAGUUUGUUCUCCACGUGCCUUUUCAGAUAAGCUUAUCCUUUUAAUCACUUAAGCUUUUCCUUGUUUACAAAGAAAUAUUUUUACAUACUAUUCAGCCUCAUUCCCCUUCUGAAACAGAGUAAACAGAAAGCAAACUUCCUUUGAUGACAGACACAUGACUGUCAUUAUGGGUUAGUCACUGAACUAUGCUCUCAUACCCACAAGAGCUACAGAGAUGGGAGAACUUGUUUGCCCCAGCAUUAAAUAACCCCACAAUGCUGCCUCUUGAGUUCUUGGUUCUGCCUUCAUGUCUCUCCCUUCUCUGUCCAGCUGCCUGUCUCUAACUUUCUCUAUUUCUAGAGAAUAGAGAAAGUUAUUUCUAAUCUGCCAGAAACUAGGAAAUCAGAUAAGCCUGCUUCCUAGAACUGAGAAAUCAGAUAAGCCUGUUUCCUAGAACUAAAUGUCUGACAUAAUGUUCUGUGAGAGAAGUGCAUGAACUUCCAUGCAUACUUGGCUAUUGCUUAGGAUGCUUUUGGCUGCAAAUAAUUGAAAACGCUGAUUCAUCAUGGCUUAAAUAACAAAGAAAUUUAUUGCCUCCCAGAACAAGAAGACUCCAAGUAAGAUACAAUCCAGGAAGGGUACUACAGGCUGCAUUUUACUCCUGGGGGAUUCGACCAGCUCUGUCUUCUCCCACCGUUGGCUUCGUCUUCCAGCUGGUGGCAAUAUGGCUGCCGUGGUUCCAGGGCCACUCUAGAUGCACCAAUGUUCCAAAAAAGGAGAGAGAACAUCAACUUCUGUGUGUCUUUUAGGAGAAGGAAACCUUUUCCAGAGGCUUGCCAGCUGACUUCCCCCAAAGAGACCAGAAUUGCCCUUUCCUAAGUCAACCACUGAAUAAAGGAAUAGAAUUCUCAAGGUUGACUUUGGCUAACUAGUAUCCAUCCUGGAUCAAAUUGAAAUUCUCUUGGGAAAAAGAAGAGGAAAAGUGGACAUUGGGAAGAAAGCAACGUAUGUGCUAGAAAUGAGAAUUAUUUGUCUGCUUAUGAUUUUAUAACUGUAUCUACAAUGAGUUAAGACUUGGUGGAACAGAUCGACUUUUAGAAAAGUGAAAUAUUAUUUUAAAAUCAAAUCAAAUGGUAACCAGAGAUAUUUAGUGAAAAACUAGCUUUGACAUGAACCUAAAAAUGGAGACAAAGUUUGGUGUUGCUUUCAUGUGAAUAUUACAGCACUUGAAUGAUUCAACCUAGAGUUCAUAGUGCAUUACAAGGAAAUGUACAAAGAAAGGGGCUGUUGAGAGGAAAGUGACACAGGGUCCCAGUACUUAAGGAAUACCUUUCAGAAGGAUGGAUGAAUAUGAAGAAACUAAGGAGCAAAGGAAUCAAGGAUUUCUUCCAGUCCACCUGGGAAGUUAGCUGCAUAGUUAGAAAUAGAACUCUAGACUCCUGGCCUGUUUUCCAAACCACAGAUAUGCUUGGUUUAUGCAGGUAAGGUUUUAGUUUGGGGUGUUGUUUUUAAACAAACGCUGUAAAACUAUGCUAGGGGCAGGCAAAGUUUGUGGGUAUUAGAGACCAAAUGACCGUGAAAUCAUAGCAUCAGUAUGUGCGGUGUUUUAGGAAUGUCAAUGUGGCUCAAAAAGAAUUUCUGUGAAAAAUAUGGACUCUCAACUCUCCUCUCCAAGGCAUCUUUAGUUACUAACCAGUUAGGAGACUGAGCCCCAAGCCUGUCUCUUACCCAUUCCAUCCCAAUGUAUACGAAAGGCUAGAUGCUAUGAAUGUGGUGAUAACAUCUUCCAGAAACCUCCAUCAUUCAUUUUAUCCUUGUGACUUCUCUGGUAACUCACCAUCUUAAAGGAUGAAAUUUUCUUUUUACUGCAAAGUUUCAGAGUCACUUCAGACUUCAGUGAGAUCAUAGCAUGCGUUUCUCUUGGACUAGGACCAGGCAAAGAGUCUCACUGAGUCACAGUCAGGGCAGGGACUCCCUCCAUCCCCAGGCCAGCCUUAUUAUGUACAAAUGUGCUACCUUGUCACCUAAAGUAUAAAUGAAGUAAAGGUUUAUUCCUGUUCCAGUUUCAAUUUGACCAAGCUUCCACCACAGCCAUACACCUGUUACUGCAUUUGUUAUUAUGCUGUAGAACUUUCUGCAGAAUAUAACCCUUCUCAUUCCUCAUAUUAUACAAUGGACAUAUUCCAGAAAGUAGACUAGCCCCAGGAUUGAUGAAAGCCUUCUUUUUGCUUCACAGCUCAGGACUUUUGCGAAUUAUCAGCAUAUUCAGUCCUGACUGGAAAUGUCAAAAUGUUUCAAAUUCACAAACUAUAGCAGAUAAUUUGGCUGAAAACAAUUUGGCUAAAUGAAAUUUUGCCAAAGAUAAUUUGAUCAAAUAUAAAGUACUUAUAGUUUACUUUAAACUUUAUUUUAAAAGUAACUUUGUCAACAGAACAAUUGGUACAAAUAAUACUUAUUGAAAAUGGGUGAAUACAAUCACUGGUUUUUCAGUGUUGGUAAUUUUAGUGUGUAUGUAUCACAAGGUAGUGAGGCAGUUCUCUGCGUCAUCAGCAUUUUUGUCUGAUUGUCACAACUGGUUCCUUUUUUGUCAAUUAUUUAUGUUAUUUGCUUCUUACAAUACUGAAAAGUUGGAAAAGAGAAUUGUUCAACAACAAUAUAUAUUUGAAACAACCUAAAUAACCAACAAAAUUGGACUGGCUAAAACCUAAAGAGCAAGUAAUAGGGAAAUCUAUUAAAACUGGGAAUUAUAUAUUUUGUUCCGUGCUUUAUUUUAUUAUUUCAGUUCUUUGUUUAUUUUCCCCGGUAUAAAAGCAAUGUUACUCAAUAAAAGAAAUUAGAAAAUACAGAUAUGCAAAAAAAAAAAAGGGGGCAUUGUAAGUCACCUACCUGGUUGAAACUUUGAGUAAUUUCCUCUCAGGUCGUUUUUAAUGUGCCUACACACAU
rnacentral:lncRNA from 1 species